AGCACUCCGCCUGGGAAGUACGAGCGCAAGCUUAAAACUCAAAGGAAUAGACGGGGACUCGCACAAGCGGUGGAGCAUGUGGUUCAAUUCGACAAUAACCGAAAAACCUUACCUGGCCUUGACACUCUAACAAAAACUUCGCGAAAGCAAGGUGUGUUCACAAGACGGUUAGAGCAGGUACUGCAUGGUUGUCGUCAGCUCGUGCCUUGAGGUGUUCCGUUAAGUCGGGAAACGAGCGCAACCCCUGUUGCCAGUUACAAGUGUCUGGCGAUACUGCCCCGAGAGACGGGGAGGAAGGAGGGGACAACGUCAAAUCAGCAUGGUCCUUUGAUGGCCAGGGCUACACACGUGCUACAAUGGGAAAUACAAAGGGUUGCCAAGCCGUAAGGCGGAGCUAAUCCCAUCAAAAUUUCCCCCAGUUCAGAUUGAGGGCUGCAACUUGCCCUCAUGAAGAUGGAAUCGCUAGUAAUCGCGGAUCAGCAUGCCGCGGUGAAUACGUUCUCGAGUCUUGUACUCACCGCCCGUCAUACCAAGGGAGCCGGGAAUGCCUUAAUUCUGACUUUAUGUCGGACCACGGUAAGCUCGGUAACAAGGGUGAAGUCGUAACAAGGCAUCGCUAGCGGAAGCUGGUGAUGGAUCAUCUCCUUU
rnacentral:rRNA from 1 species